CUCACAUGUUUAGUUCAUGAGGAGAAUGGAAUGUUGACCAAGUUCAUCGAGACGGUACAAAGAAAGGAGCGGAGACAUGCCCUGGACUUCAUUAAAAUGAGCCUGCAGACACUGACAAGCUGCCAUUGUGACUGACUGCCAAGACUGCUCAUUAUAUGGAUGUAAGAUACAUUGAAGAUAGAAAAAGUUCCCUGGACUGAUGAUUUGAAUCAUGACUGCAUAAAUGAACUCAAAUCUUCCAGGCCACCUUUUGCCUUCAGAUUCCUGUACUAGUAAGAAGCCCCUCUGUAAACUCUCCUUGCUUUGUCAAAACUCCUGGAUCUCAAGGAAACAAGGUAGGGAAUCUGGGCUAGCUCACAACCCUUCCCCAUCCAAAUGUAUCUGUCCCUCCAGAAAU
rnacentral:lncRNA from 1 species